UACGGGGGGAGCAAGCGUUGUUCGGAUUUACUGGGCGUAAAGGGCGCGUAGGCGGCCAGCACAAGUCAGUUGUGAAAUCUCCGAGCUUAACUCGGAAAGGUCAACUGAUACUGUGCGGCUAGAGUGCGGAAGGGGCAACUGGAAUUCUUGGUGUAGCGGUGAAAUUCGUAGAUAUCGGGAGGAACACCGGUGGCGAAGGCGGCGACCUGGGUCGAGACUGACGCUGAGGCGCGAAAGCGUGGGGAGCAAACAGG
rnacentral:rRNA from 1 species